rnacentral:pre_miRNA from 1 species
CACAAUGUUAUACUGGAGAGCAGGAAGAGCUGUGUUGGGUAUAAGUAAUAGAGUUUUCCUUUUCUUCCAUGUGGCUCUUUGCA